GAGCAGUUCACCUAGGAGAGCAAACUCCGAUUACAAACCCGGCCAGGUGGAGGUCGUUAGCGUGAGCAGUUCACCUAGGAGAGCAAACUCCGAUUACAAACCCGGCCAGGUGGAGAUCGUUAGCGUAAGCAGUUCACCUAGGAGAAGGACAACUCUGAUCACAAACCCGGGGAGGUGGAGAUCGUUAGCCAUGGUAAGCAAUUCACCUAGGAGAGCAAACUCUGAACAACAAACCCGGGCAGGUGGGGCUCGUUAGCUGUGGGAGGCAAUUCACCUAGGAGAGGGACAACUCCGAAUAACAAACACGGGCAGGUGGGGUUCGUUAGCCGUGGGAGGCAGUUCACCUAGGAGAGGGACAACUCCGAAUAACAAACACGGGCAGGUGGGGUUCGUUAGCCGUGGGAGGCAGUUCACCUAGGAGAGGGACAACUCCGAAUAACAAACACGGGCAGGUGGAGGUCGUUAGCGUGAGCAGUUCACCUAGGAGAGCAAACUCCGAUUACAAAUCCGGGCAGGUGGAGGUCGUUAGCGUGAGCAGUUCACCUAGGAGAGCAAACUCCGAUUACAAACCCGGCCAGGUGGAGGUCGUUAGCGUGAGCAGUUCACCUAGGAGAGCAAACUCCGAUUACAAACCCGGCCAGGUGGAGGUCGUUAGCGUGAGCAGUUCACCUAGGAGAAGGACAACUCUGAUCACAAACCCGGGGAGGUGGAGAUCGUUAGCCGCGAGGCAGUUCACCAAGGAGAGCAAACUCCGAUCACAAACCCGGGCAGGAGGGGAUCGUUAGCCGUGGUAGGCAAUCUUCCUAGGAGAAGGAAAACUCCGAAUUCAAACCAACCAACCAAACAACUAACCGACCAACCGGGGAGGUGGGACUCGUUAUAGGCGUCGUAGACAAUCCACCACGGGAAUCAACAAAAAAGGGAUAAUAAAAACGAACACAAGAAAAGAAUAACAUGAAAUUAAAACAGGACAAAAAAAGAUGAUAUAAAAUAAAACACCGAAAAAAAAGGAUAGUUUCGAAAAUAACAUCGAGAAAAGCAUAAGACACACACGAAUCAUCCACCUUUAGACCCUAACAUCAACAUCGUCAAAAUUAUGGGUGGGUCUCUUCUGGGAGGAAAGAGGCUUACCCAGACCAACAAAGAACACCAAGAAAGGAUGAUAUUAACAAGAAAAACAAAACAUCGAAAAGAAAACCAACAGCAAGUAAAAGAGCAGCAUCAAAAUUAUAGUAUAGAAUAAGAAAAAAAGGAAAGGAAAAAGAAAAAGAAAAAGAAAAGAAAAAACGCCAAGAAAUAAAAUAAAAUAAACAAAUAAAACUAAUAAAAAACAAUUAGCUAAAUAAAUAAAUUAAUUAAUAAA